UACGUAGGGUGCGAGCGUUGUCCGGAAUUAUUGGGCGUAAAGAGCUCGUAGGCGGCCUGUCGCGUCUGCUGUGAAAGACCGGGGCUCAACUCCGGUUCUGCAGUGGGUACGGGCAGACUAGAGUGAUGUAGGGGAGACUGGAAUUCCUGGUGUAGCGGUGAAAUGCGCAGAUAUCAGGAGGAACACCGAUGGCGAAGGCAGGUCUCUGGGCAUUAACUGACGCUGAGGAGCGAAAGCAUGGGGAGCGAACAGGA
rnacentral:rRNA from 1 species